GACGAACGCUGGCGGCGUGCCUAAUACAUGCAAGUCGAGCGAAGCGGGGACGGGUGAGUAACACGUGGAUAACCUCCUAUAAGAGGGGGAUAACCUCGGGAAACCGGAGCUAUACCGCAUAUUUAUAGAUUGACUCACGCUGCAUUAGCUAGGUGGUACGGUAACGGCUUACCAAGGCAACGAUGCAUAGCCGACCUGAGAGGGGGAUCGGCCACACUGGAACUGAGACACGGUCCAGAUUCCUACGGGAGGCAGCAGUGGGGAAUCUUCCGCAAUGGGCGAAAGCCUGACGGAGCAACGCCGCGUGAGGGAUGAAGGUCUUCGGGUCGUAAAACUCUUUUAUUAGGGAAGCGGUACCUAAUCAGAAAGCCACGACUAACUACGUGCCAGCAGCCGCGGUAAUAC
rnacentral:rRNA from 1 species